UACGUAGGCAGCGAGCGUUGUUCGGAGUUACUGGGCGUAAAGGGUGCGUAGGCGGUUGUUUAAGUUUGGUGUGAAAUCUCCCGGCUCAACUGGGAGGGUGCGCCGAAUACUGAAUGACUAGAGUGCGGGAGAGGAGAGUGGAAUUCCUGGUGUAGCGGUGAAAUGCGCAGAUAUCAGGAAGAACACCCGUGGCUAAGGCGGCUCUCUGGGACGGUACUGACGCUGAGACGCGAAAGCGUGGGGAGCAAACAGG
rnacentral:rRNA from 1 species